AGCAAUAAGGCAGCGCCCUGAUUGCUGUUAUUAGACUGUAGAGAUUUAUUAACUGGAAAGUUGUUUGUUUGUUUUUUAAGUGACGUUGACAUUAACUGAUAUGGACAAAGAAACUCUGAUGUGGACGAAAUAAAAUUGUGAUUACUGAGUCUGAAGCAGCAGCAGCAGUGACGGCAUCUCGUCGCACAACCUGGCUGGUGCUAACUAACAACUGGUAGGCACAGAUGGAAGAGGAAACGGGUGGUUCGAGCUUACUGCUAACACAGCUUGGAGAGCCAACAGCUUGACGUUCUGCAACAUUCAUUUCUGAGAGGAAGAAUUGGUGAGGUAUUAAGUAGGUAGAGCAGCUCUGAUGAUACUGUAAUGGUCUGACACUACACCUGUAAUCAAAACAAGGUGAGUCUUUGUGCUGGCUGACUAUUUGAAUUAAAAAAGAAGAGGGACUACAGUAAAAUAAAAAA